CACGUAGGCACCAAGCGUUGUCCGGAUUUAUUGGGCGUAAAGAGCUCGUAGGCGGUUCGGUAAGUCGGGUGUGAAAACUUUGGGCUCAACCCAAAGCCUGCACUCGAUACUGCUGUGACUUGAGUCCGGUAGGGGAGUGGGGGAAUUCCUGGUGUAGCGGUGGAAUGCGCAGAUAUCAGGAGGAACACCGGUGGCGAAGGCGCCACUCUGGGCCGGUACUGACGCUGAGGAGCGAAAGCGUGGGGAGCGAACAGG
rnacentral:rRNA from 1 species